rnacentral:rRNA from 1 species
AUUGAACGCUGGCGGCAUGCCUUACACAUGCAAGUCGAACGGUAACGGGCCUUCGGGUGCCGACGAGUGGCGAACGGGCGAGUAAUACAUCGGAACGUGCCCGACCGUGUGGGAUAACGAGGCGAAAGCUUUGCUAAUACCGCAUACGAUCUACGUAUGAAAGCAGGUGACCGCAAGCCCUUGCGCGGACGGAGCGGCCGAUGGCCGACUAGGUAGUUGGUGGGAUAAAAGCUUACCAAGCCGACGAUCUGUAGCUGGUCUGAGAGGAUGAUCAGCCACACUAGGACUGAGACACGGUCCAGACUCCUACGGGAGGCGGCAGUGGGGAAUUUUGGACAAUGGGCGCAAGCCUGAUCCAGCCAUGCCGCGUGCAGGAUGAAGGCCUUCGGGUUGUAAAGUGCUUUUGUACGGAACGAAAAGCCUUCUUUUAAUACAGGAGGGUCAUGACGGUACCGUAAGAAUAAGCACCGGCUAACUACGUG